UCUGAAAAAAAGCCAGUUUACGUAGUCGCAAAAUUGAGAAGAAAGUAUAGAACAUGUGGAGGAAUCGAGAAAGAUAGUGCAUGUGUGACCAGAAGAAAACGCGACCAGAAGGGCAUGUCCCAAGAGGAAAACAGAGGAGCCACUAAAAUGGGGUCUUUGAGCGCAGCCAAAACAUCGGGUCUCUCAGAUCUCCGCCACUGUGGAAAGGAGAAUGCCAGCAAAAAUGGUUGCCGAAAUUAACACCAUGGAGAGACUAUGAAAGGCAGGGAUGGGACCAAG
rnacentral:misc_RNA from 1 species